GUCAACAUCACCAGUGUAGCGUUUACUGCAUGCCUCUAGCAAGCCUACUGACUUGACUUGGAAAAUCUGUGGAGUUUUGACUCACUAUCAGCUACAGCUGGAGCAGUGUGCAGCGUGAUGCAUGUGCUCAGUGCACGGCUGCUUAAAUGAGAGGACACACACAUCAACUCCCCUUAUACAGAGGAGGAAAAGGAGCUUUGUAAAAGGACAUGGCAGUAAACCUCCCGUCUGAGCCUGUAGCUCAUGCCUUUGCAUGUUUCAGCAAGAAUGAAGAAUAUCAGUCAAGAGUUUCCACAUCACGCCUGCCAGGGCUAUACCCUGGGUAUUUACAGAGUCGAGGACACUGAGACCAAUAUAACAGGUAGAUUGACUGUGAUAGAAAAGACGCCUCAAAUACAAUUUAUUCAAGUCUAAGAAAUGAAAUCUCAUUCAGUUUCAGGCCUCAUCAACAGCAGGGAGAACCACAAAUCACAAACUUCUUUUGCACUGGGAAAGGUGUUGCCAUGGGAACAGGGCUGCUGGCCAUUUGGCCAUCUCACUCAUCUCUAGAGGAAGGCAGGUGAGGAAGGUGAGAGUCACAGUCAGGUAGGAAGGCCUGCGAUAAGAUCCAAGGAAGAUGGGGGAUGUACUUCUACCAUGUGUCAUGUUGGUAGCAAAUGCAGUAAGAAUAAAAUGUCACCAUCUGAUCCACAU
rnacentral:lncRNA from 10 species